rnacentral:rRNA from 1 species
ACCGGCAGCCAUAUCAUACCCUUUAGCCCAAGACUGGUUGUCCACUGAGCCUGGUCAGUACCUGGAUGGGAGACCUCCUAGGAAAACUAGGUUGCUGCUGGAA